AGUGGCGGACGGGUGAGUAACACGUAGGUAACCUGCCCCGGAGCGGGGGAUAACAUUUGGAAACAGAUGCUAAUACCGCAUAACAACAAAAGCCACAUGGCUUUUGUUUGAAAGAUGGCUUUGGCUAUCACUCUGGGAUGGACCUGCGGUGCAUUAGCUAGUUGGUAAGGUAACGGCUUACCAAGGCGAUGAUGCAUAGCCGAGUUGAGAGACUGAUCGGCCACAAUGGAACUGAGACACGGUCCAUACUCCUACGGGAGGCAGCAGUAGGGAAUCUUCCACAAUGGGCGCAAGCCUGAUGGAGCAACACCGCGUGAGUGAAGAAGGGUUUCGGCUCGUAAAGCUCUGUUGUUGGAGAAGAA
rnacentral:rRNA from 1 species